UAGGGAAUCUUCGGCAAUGGACGAAAGUCUGACCGAGCAACGCCGCGUGAGUGAAGAAGGUUUUCGGAUCGUAAAACUCUGUUGUUAGAGAAGAACAAGGACGUUAGUAACUGAACGUCCCCUGACGGUAUCUAACCAGAAAGCCACGGCUAACUACGUGCCAGCAGCCGCGGUAAUACGUAGGUGGCAAGCGUUGUCCGGAUUUAUUGGGCGUAAAGCGAGCGCAGGCGGUUUCUUAAGUCUGAUGUGAAAGUCCCCGGCUCAACCGGGGAGGGUCAUUGGAAACUGGGAGACUUGAGUGCAGAAGAGGAGAGUGGAAUUCCAUGUGUAGCGGUGAAAUGCGUAGAUAUAUGGAGGAACACCAGUGGCGAAGGCGGCUCUCUGGUCUGUAACUGACGCUGAGGCUCGAAAGCGUGGGGAGCAAACAGG
rnacentral:rRNA from 2 species